GACGAACGCUGGCGGCGUGCUUAACACAUGCAAGUCGAACGGAAAGGCCCUGCUUUUGUGGGGUUCUCGAGUGGCGAACGGGUGAGUAACACGUGAGUAACCUGCCCUUUACUUUGGGAUAACUUCAGGAAACUGGGGCUAAUACCGGAUAGGAGCUCCUGCUGCAUGGUGGGGGUUGGAAAGUUUCGGCGGUUGGGGAUGGACUCGCGGCUUAUCAGCUUGUUGGUGGGGUAGUGGCUUACCAAGGCUUUGACGGGUAGCCGGCAUGAGAGGGUGAACGGCCACAAUGGGACGGAGAUACGGACCAGAGUCCAACGGGAGGCAGCAGGGGGGAAUAUUGCAAAAUGGGAGGAAGCCUGAUGAAGAAACGCCGCGUGCGGGAUGACGGCCUUCGGGUUGUAAACCGCUUUCGCCUGUGACGAAGCGUGAGUGACGGUAAUGGGUAAAGAAGCACCGGCUAACUACGUG
rnacentral:rRNA from 1 species